rnacentral:tRNA from 1 species
GGGAAAGUAGUCUAGUUUGGUCUAGGACUCCAGCUUGGGGUGCUGGCAACCCGGGUUCAAAUCCCGGCUUUCCCA